AAUCAAGAAUCCCUUCCUCUUAAAACUAAUUUCACUUCUCAUCAAUUAAACUUCCAUUUCAUUCCAAUUUCUUUUCUCAGAUUUCCAAAAAUCCCCAAUUUUCUCUCUCUCUCUCUCUCAAAAUCUUUUUUCACUCAGCUGUUUGUGUUUUCCUUCUUCUUCAAUAAUGUGUGGAGGUGCUAUAAUCUCCGGCUUCAUUCCGCCGACUCGCUCCCGGCGAGUCACCGGCGAACACCUUUGGCCUAAUCUGAAGAAACCUGCCUUCGGAAAUCAAUUGUCCAAGCCGGUUAAGUCUGAUAUCAUUGACAUUGAUGAUGAUUUCGAGACUGAUUUCAAGCAUUUCAAGGAUGAUUCCGAUUUGGAAUUUGAUGUGGAGGAGCUCCUCGAUACCAAACCUCUUGCCUUUUCUGCUGCUGGAAACCCUCCUGUUCCUUCAGCUCGUGCUUCAAAGUCUGUAGAAUUCUCUGGACAAGCAGAAAAAUCAGCAAAAAGAAAGCGAAAGAAUCAGUACAGGGGAAUCCGACAGCGACCAUGGGGUAAAUGGGCUGCAGAAAUUCGUGACCCACGUAAAGGAGUUCGUGUGUGGCUGGGCACUUUUAAUACUGCUGAAGAAGCUGCUCGAGCGUAUGAUGCUGAAGCACGACGAAUUCGUGGAAAGAAAGCUAAGGUUAACUUUCCCUAUGAAGCUCCACGAACCAGUGGAAAACGUUCAGCAAAGCCAAACCUCCAGGAACCACUUCCCAAAACUAGCUUGGCAAAGACCCAGCCAGAUCCAAUCCAGAACAAUAAUUUCGUGAAUAACUCCGAUGAAGCAUACUAUAGCACAAUGGGUUUCCUGGAGGAAAAACCACUUACAAAUCAACUUCCCAACAUGGAUUCAUUGGCUAUGAAUGGAGAUAUUGCAAUAAAAACCAGUCCAGCUUCUUCUGAUGUUGCACCCAUGUACUUUAAUUCAGAUCAAGGAAGCAACUCCUUUGAUUACUCUGACUUUGGAUGGGGAGAGCAGGGUGUAAGGACGCCUGAAAUCUCGUCUUUUCUCUCAGCUGCCAUGGACAAUGAAGAUUCUCACUUUGUGGAGGAUGCUUCUCCAAAGAAGAAAGUCAAGUAUAGCCCAGAGAAUACGGUGGUUUCUCAAGGCUCUGAGAAGACUUUAUCUGAGGAGUUGUCUUCUUUUGAGUCUGAAAUGAAGUACUUCCAGAUGCCAUAUCUCGAUGGCAGCUGGGAUGCAUCAAUGGAUGCCUUCCUUGCAGGAGAGACAGGGAACCAGGACGGUGGAAACUCAGUCGACCUUUGGACCUUUGACGAUCUUGCAGGAAUGGUUGGCAGUGUCUUCUAAGCAAAUCUUUUCCAGCUUGCUAGGUUAUGUAAAUAAAAGCUACAUAUUAGAACAUUUGUGAUCUGUUAUGGGAAUGGACGUGAGAGAGAUCUGCCUGCAUAAGCAAAAAUGGCCUAACAAACAUAGCUAUUGGUGUGUAUGUUGAAUGUGAGGACACUCUUAGUAGUACUUACUUGCUUUUUGAGGAGGAGAAGAAGAGCAUGGGGGAAUUCAGAGGAAAAUGAGUGGGUGUGGUCUGUAUAAUCAAAGUAAGUGAUGUGCCAUUUCCUGACCAUACUCUCACCACUCACAUGUUUCUCUAAGCAGCUGCAGAGCAAGUUCCUAUUUUAAGCUUUUUUGUUUUCUUGCAUGUGAUUUGAUUCCACCCUUUUACCAAACUUUUCCAACCGCUGAAUUCCUUCUUUUUGUUAUUAUUUUCAGCCCAAUAUUUCUUUAAAAAAGAAAAUCACAAAUUUAGAAAAAUAUUGAAAACUACUGUAGUUUUUAACUUAAAUUACAAGGAAUUUAAAUUUUGAGCUUCUCGAAUA